CGCGAAGAACCUUACCAGGUCUUGACAUACUCGUGCUAUUCCUAGAGAUAGGAAGUUCCUUCGGGACACGGGAUACAGGUGGUGCAUGGUUGUCGUCAGCUCGUGUCGUGAGAUGUUGGGUUAAGUCCCGCAACGAGCGCAACCCCUAUUGUUAGUUGCCAUCAUUAAGUUGGGCACUCUAACGAGACUGCCGGUGAUAAACCGGAGGAAGGUGGGGAUGACGUCAAAUCAUCAUGCCCCUUAUGACCUGGGCUACACACGUGCUACAAUGGAUGGUACAACGAGUCGCGAGACAGUGAUGUUUAGCUAAUCUCUUAAAACCAUUCUCAGUUCGGAUUGUAGGCUGCAACUCGCCUACAUGAAGUCGGAAUCGCUAGUAAUCGCGGAUCAGCACGCCGCGGUGAAUACGUUCCCGGGCCUUGUACACACCGCCUGUCACACCACGGGAGUUGGGAGUACCCGAAGUAGGUUGCCUAACCGCAAGGAGGGCGCU
rnacentral:rRNA from 1 species